rnacentral:rRNA from 1 species
GAUGAACGCUGGCGGCGUGCCUAAUACAUGCAAGUCGAGCGAACGGACGAGAAGCUUGCUUCUCUGAUGUUAGCGGCGGACGGGUGAGUAACACGUGGAUAACCUACCUAUAAGACUGGGAUAACUUCGGGAAACCGGAGCUAAUACCGGAUGAUAUUUUGAACCGCAUGGUUCAAAAGUGAAAGACGGUCUUGCUGUCACUUAUAGAUGGAUCCGCGCUGCAUUAGCUAGUUGGUAAGGUAAUGGCUUACCAAGGCAACGAUGCAUAGCCGACCUGAGAGGGUGAUCGGCCACACUGGAACUGAGACACGGUCCAGACUCCUACGGGAGGCAGCAGUAGGGAAUCUUCCGCAAUGGGCGAAAGCCUGACAGAGCAACGCCGCGUGAGUGAUGAAGGUCUUCGGAUCGUAAAACUCUGUUAUUAGGGAAGAACAUAUGUGUAAGUAACUGUGCACAUCUUGACGGUACCUAAUCAGAAAGCCACGGCUAACUACGUG